AACGCGAAGAACCUUACCUGGGCUCGAAAUGUAGAGGACGCUAUCAGAGAUGAUAGUUCCCGAAAGGGCCUUUAUAUAGGUGCUGCAUGGCUGUCGUCAGCUCGUGCCGUGAGGUGUUUGGUUAAGUCCAGCAACGAGCGCAACCCUUAUCGUUAGUUGCCAGCGCGUAAAGGCGGGAACUCUAACGAGACUGCCUGGGUUAACCAGGAGGAAGGUGAGGAUGACGUCAAGUCCGCAUGGCCUUUAUGUCCAGGGCUACACACGUGCUACAAUGGUCGGUACAGAAGGCAGCAAAACCGUGAGGUGAAGCAAAUCCUUUAAAGCCGAUCUCAGUUCAGAUUGUAGUCUGCAACUCGACUACAUGAAGUUGGAAUUGCUAGUAAUGGCGUGUCAGCAACAACGCCGUGAAUACGUUCCCGGGCCUUGUACACACCGAGACGUA
rnacentral:rRNA from 1 species